UCUAUAGGUAAACCACACCAACACAAAACAAAUGAUACUGCAACAGACGUAAAUAAUAACAGCAUCAGCCUAAUCGGUAAGUGUCAAUGCAACGCAACGGUAUCAGACAAAACGCUAACUCUACAAUGCUACGUCACGGAAAUCGAUAACUUAAAUAUUAUGGGUAUCGACUGGAUACAAAGUUUUAACAUUUGGGACAAACCAAUUUCGGCUUGGUGUCGCCAAAUAUCAAACGAUGAAUACAUAUCUAACCUGAGAAGCAAGUACAAACCUGUUUUCGAUAACAGCAGUCUGGGCCUCUGUACAAAAAUCAAAGUGCAUAUUAAACUUCUUCCAGACGCAAAAGAAACAUUCAUUGCAAAACGUCCAGUACCAUACGCCGUGAGAACAGACAUAGAAACAGAGCUAGAUAGACUUGAAAAAGAAAACAUCGUCACACCAGUCAAUUCUUCACAAAUUGCAGCGUCAAUAGUCAAAAUUCAAGAUUAAAAUUCAUCAAAUAUCUAGGUCAAUUCAUCGACAAAAACGGCAUACGCCCUGAUCUAGACAAAAUUCUUGCAAUACAGAAUCUCAAGGUCCCUGAAAACAUUUCUGAAGUACUAGGCUCCAUAAACCGCUAUGGAAAGUAUGUCUACAAUAUGAGAAAUAUCCGAAAACCACUAGAUGAUCUCUUAAAAAACGAUCACAAAUUCCUUUGGACCAAAGAAUGUCAACAAUCUCUCGACGAAUGCAAACGCUUUCUAAAAUCGGAUUUACUACUAACUCAUUACAACCCAUCACUGCCAAUUCACAUUGCAGCGGACGCAUCAUCACAUGGCAUCGGAGCGGUAAUAUACCAUACUUACCCAGACAACAGUGCCAAAGCCAUUCAUCACGUCUCAAGAUCACUUACUCCAACGGAAAGAAAUUACAGUUAAUCGAAAAAGAAGGACUAGCACUAGUUUUCGCCGUACAACGUUUCCACAAAAUGAUUUUCGGAAGAAAAUUCACCCUACAUACCGACCAUAAACCAUUGCUCACAAUAUUUGAUUCCAAAAAAGGUAUUCCGGUCUAUACUGCAAACAGGUUACACCUUUCGAUAUAAAAUAUACCAAUACUAAGGAUUUUGGAUACGCAGGCGUUGUCAAGAUUGAUAAACGCACAUGAAAAACCAUCAGAUGAGUACAUCAUAGCUUCCAUCAAACUAGAAAAAGAUGAUAUCGCAGACGCCGUAUCAACACUCCCAGUUAGUUUCAAAAUGAUACAAAUUGCUACCAAAAACCAAAAUCCAACCUUACAAACAGUUUCAAACUACGUAUACAACGGCUGGUCAGAAAACAAAAAUAACAUAGAUUUAUCAAUUGUUCCAUACUUCAGCAGGCAAGAUUCAAUAUCAAUAACAGAUGAUUGUCUUAUGUUCAAUACGCGCAUAAUAGUAUCCGAAUGCUACAGAAAACAAAUUCUCAAACAACUGCAUCGCGGAUACAAAGGAGCAGAAAGAAGCAAAUAUAUCGCACGCAGUGAAUAAUCGACAAAUUCUCGUGAGAUGUCACGCAGAUCAACUCAGACUAAGAGAAGCCGAUCACGACGUUGUACCUGCAAAGCAAAAUGAUAAUCUUCCUCUUCAAAUCCUACUAGAAGAUUUCAACAUUAGUCCACCAACGGAAGAAGAUUUUACACCUCCACCAUCAUCACCGGUUAUGCUUCCACAACGCAUCACUUCUCGAAGACAUCCUGUACAGCCAGCAUCAUUGUUAUUAUGAAGGCACACAUACACACACACUACCCUCAGCUACACUCAGUCUCUUUCAGUCAUUCAGACAACUCAGUCACUACACAACACAAUUGUCUUACACUCCAAGUAGUAACGCGCUACAUCAUAUUUGUAUCGUAUUUUAGUUGCAGAAAUAACCAGAAUAAAUCUUGCUCAAGUUUGUUAAUUUA